UUUCCCCGUGUUUGAACUUCACAGUGCCCUCCCAAGGUUUGGGGAUAACCACAGCACGCCACCUCUCCACAUGCAGCGCGCAGGAUCCUCCGCCCCUGCCGUCCUCCCCCUCCCCGGCGCGGGUGGGAGCCGCUGACUCAUCCGCCAUCAUCAUCAUCAUCAUCAUCAUCAUCAUCCUCCCUCCCCACGAGGAAGGGCGAUUCGAGGGGCUGCAUUGCAGACCCAGCCUCGCCAGCAGACAAAAGCCGAGCUGCAGCACCGCCCGCGGCUCCCCGGCACAAAGAGCCCGGCCGGCAUCGAGCUCACCCGGCCGAUCCUCCGCAGCCUGAAAAUGCUGGACACCAUCAGCAGCCAGUACGACUCCUUCAUCUACUGGAGGAUGCCGAUCCCGCGGCUGGACAUGGCCGAGCUGGAGGGGCUGGGGCUCGCCGACAUGGCCCUCUACAAGCCCAAGGCAGGGCUGGGCAAGCUCGGGGACCGGGACAACCAGGACCUCUCCCAGGAAGAGGACAGUCUGCUGCAGUUCAACAGCUUUAACUUCUGGCGAGCUCCCAUCGCCAGCAUCAGUUCCUUAGAUUUCGAUUUAAUUUGAAGCCCUUCCUUUGCCUGUCUUUACCCCCCUGCUCUCUCUCUCUCUCUCUCUCUUUUUCUCUUUCUGCCAGGCAUGCCAGGAUUUGGUUUUGUUGUCAGUUUGGAGGCUGUUGGGUUGGGGUUUUUGUUUUGGUUUCUGGGCAGUUUUUGCCGUCGCUAAUUCACUCAGCAGUUUUCACCGCGGCCUUGAUGGUGAUGGGCUCCCCAAAAAUCUCCAACCCUUCUCCGCCCUCUCCCACUUUUUCCCUCCUGGAAUCACAACGGUGCAAGUCGGGGGUAACGGCACCAGGGGCAAACACGAGGGGAGGGGGCAGAAACAAACCUCCCCAUGGCUCCUCUCCUUUUCCAGAGGGUUUGGGAGGUGCCACCCUCCACCCCGUGUCAGUGUGACCGUGGCUGUCCCCACCCCGCGUGACAAUUUCUCAGCUCAUUUCUCAAGUGCUUUUUUUGAGAAACUCAAUUGUGGGGACGGGGCGGCGGAGGAGCAACGGGAAUCGCCCUCGUUUCGCAGAAAGCAUCGACCCUCUGUGCUCCCCUGGCCUGAUUUCUCAAAAAUCUGCUUCGUCCCUUAACCUUCCCCUCGGGAAUGCAAGGUGGGAGAGGCAGGGAUGUGCCCAAGAUAUCAGCACAAACCUUCUUCUUGAGAAAAAAGAAUCACUUUCAGCCUUGUGGCAUGAGCCCAAGCGGAAAAAAAAUUAUGGCCAGGAGGGUAAAUAGACAUGGAAAUGCUCUGACUUUGCUUGGGGGGGGUCAAGGCUAGGUGUUUAUUGCCCCAAAUUUGAUUUUUUUCAUCCUUUUUUAAUGCCCCACGUGGUUUAUCCCCAGGGCAACUCCUGACUGGGACAGACUGUGGGGGUCUGGAAGGGUGAUGGGGCAGAGCUGAAAGAUGGAGAAUUUAGUUUGAUUUUACCCCCAAAUGAAAAGAUUUCAGGUUUUCCACUUAAUCAGUCGCUUUGAAAACGACAACAAGCGAUGCUGCAUUCAUUCAAGUGGAAGCCUUGAGUUUUCUCCGGGGAGAUUUUCACCUGCUGAGGUUCAUCUCAAAAUGGGGGGGGGAAAAACCCAACCUCCGAUAAUUUUUGGCUUUUAAACAGGUUUGGGGUUUUUUUUCCUUCCCCAAGAUUGUUUUCUGGGAUUGGUUUGUGUUCUUGAAUGUGCUUUUUUGGGGUUUGAUUGGGAUGAAGUGAUGUGGAGCAUCCCAAAAUCAUCCUGAGAGUUGGGGGGUACGUGGCUGGGGGCAAGCUGAGGCAGGACUUAAAAAGUGCCAGAAAUAGGCAAAAAUUGGAAAAAAAUCUGCAUUCUACUAUGAAAAUUGGAUGCAGCUCUCCUGUAAUCUCCAGAAAUAUUCAGGUGUGCUGAUUUUGAACCAUCUGUGUAAAACCAGAGGUGAAAAAUGUUAACUCUCCUCUGCAGAGCUGUUUGACUUCUGUGUUCCCAGCUAGGAAAACCUGCAGAACUAUUUAUUAUGAAACUUUAAAUAAAAUCAGUUGCAAACGUA